rnacentral:rRNA from 1 species
UGCACCUGGUGGCGAGUGGCGAACGGGUGAGUAAUACAUCGGAACAUGUCCUGUAGUGGGGGAUAGCCCGGCGAAAGCCGGAUUAAUACCGCAUACGAUCUACGGAUGAAAGCGGGGGACCUUCGGGCCUCGCGCUAUAGGGUUGGCCGAUGGCUGAUCAGCUAGUUGGUGGGGUAAAGGCCUACCAAGGCGACGAUCAGUAGCUGGUCUGAGAGGACGACCAGCCACACUGGGACUGAGACACGGCCCAGACUCCUACGGGAGGCAGCAGUGGGGAAUUUUGGACAAUGGGCGAAAGCCUGAUCCAGCAAUGCCGCGUGUGUGAAGAAGGCCUUCGGGUUGUAAAGCACUUUUGUCCGGAAAGAAAUCCUUGGUUCUAAUAUAGCCGGGGGAUGACGGUACCGGAAGAAUAAGCACCGGCUAACUACGUGCCAGCAGCCGCGGUAAUACGUAGGGUGCGAGCGUUAAUCGGAAUUACUGGGCGUAAAGCGUGCGCAGGCGGUUUGCUAAGACCGAUGUGAAAUCCCCGGGCUCAACCUGGGAACUGCAUUGGUGACUGGCAGGCUAGAGUAUGGCAGAGGGGGGUAGAAUUCCACGUGUAGCAGUGAAAUGCGUAGAGAUGUGGAGGAAUACCGAUGGCGAAGGCAGCCCCCUGGGCCAAUACUGACGCUCAUGCACGA